UACAGAGGGGGCGAGCGUUGUUCGGAAUUACUGGGCGUAAAGGGUGCGUAGGCGGGUCUUUAAGUCAGGGGUGAAAUCCUGGAGCUCAACUCCAGAACUGCCUUUGAUACUGAAGAUCUUGAGUUCGGGAGAGGUGAGUGGAACUGCGAGUGUAGAGGUGAAAUUCGUAGAUAUUCGCAAGAACACCAGUGGCGAAGGCGGCUCACUGGCCCGAUACUGACGCUGAGGCACGAAAGCGUGGGGAGCAAACAGG
rnacentral:rRNA from 1 species